CCUACGGGGGGCAGCAGUGGGGGAUAUUGCACAAUGGGGGAAACCCUGAUGCAGCGACGCCGCGUGGGCGAAGAAGUAUUUCGGUAUGUAAAGCCCUAUCAGCAGGGAAGAAGAAAUGACGGUACCUGAGUAAGAAGCACCGGCUAAAUACGUGCCAGCAGCCGCGGUAAUACGUAUGGUGCCAGCGUUAUCCGGAUUUACUGGGUGUAAAGGGAGCGCAGGCGGCACGGCAAGCCUGAUGGCAAAGCCCGGGGCACAACCGCGGGACUGCAGUGGGAACUACGCGGCUGGAGUGCCGGAGAGGUAGGCGGAAUUCGUGGUGUAGCGGUGAAAUGCGUAGAUAUUAGGAGGAACACCAGUGGCGAAGGCGGCCUACUGGACGGUGACUGACGCUGAGGCUCGAAAGCGUGGGGAGCAAACAGGAUUAGAUACCCUUGUAGUC
rnacentral:rRNA from 1 species